GCCUGGAUAGCUCAAUCGGCAGAUCAUUAGACUUUUAAUCUGAGGGUUCAGGGAUCAAGUCCCUGUUCAGGCG